GUGGGGAAUCUUGCACAAUGGGGGAAACCCUGAUGCAGCGACGCCGCGUGAAUGACGAAGCCCUUCGGGGUGUAAAGUUCUUUCGGCAGGAACGAUAAUGACGGUACCUGAAGAAGAAGCUGCGGCUAACUACGUGCCAGCAGCCGCGGUAAUACGUAGGCAGCAAACGUUGUUCGGAGUUACUGGGCGUAAAGAGUACGUAGGCGGUUUGCCAAGUCUGGUGUGAAAUCUCUCGGCUUAACCGGGAGGGUGCGCCGGAUACUGGCAGGCUAGAGUGUGGGAGAGGAAAGCGGAAUUCCUGGUGUAGCGGUGAAAUGCGUAGAUAUCAGGAGGAACACCGGUGGUGUAGACGGCUUUCUGGACCAUGACUGACGCUGAGGUACGAAAGCGUGGGUAGCAAACAGGAUUAGAUACCCUAGUAGUCC
rnacentral:rRNA from 1 species